rnacentral:piRNA from 1 species
GAAACUGAAGCCCCUGUGGAAGAU